AUUGAACGCUGGCGGCAGGCCUAACACAUGCAAGUCGAGCGGUAGCACAGAGAGCUUGCUCUCGGGUGACGAGCGGCGGACGGGUGAGUAAUGUCUGGGAAACUGCCUGAUGGAGGGGGAUAACUACUGGAAACGGUAGCUAAUACCGCAUAACGUUGCAAGACCAAAGAGGGGGACCUUCGGGCCUCUUGCCAUCGGAUGUGCCCAGAUGGGAUUAGCUAGUAGGUGGGGUAACGGGCUCACCUAGGCGACGAUCCCUAGCUGGUCUGAGAGGAUGACCAGCCACACUGGAACUGAGACACGGUCCAGACUCCUACGGGAGGCAGCAGUGGGGAAUAUUGCACAAUAGGGCGCAAGCCUCGAUGCAGCCAUGCCGCGUGUAUGAAGAAAGGCCUCGGUU
rnacentral:rRNA from 1 species